UUAUCGGAGAGUUUGAUCCUGGCUCAGGACGAACGCUGGCGGCGUGCCUAAUACAUGCAAGUCGAGCGGACAGAUGGGAGCUUGCUCCCUGAUGUUAGCGGCGGACGGGUGAGUAACACGUGGGUAACCUGCCUGUAAGACUGGGAAAACUCCUGGAAACCGGGGCUAAUACCGGAUGCAAGAUAGAAACUCAUUGUUCAAAAA
rnacentral:rRNA from 1 species